GCAACUUGGAGGAAAGUAUAUGGAAACCGGUAAAAAGGAAAUGUACGUAAUAGUAUUAGAAAAUAAUAUGAAAUUAACUAAGUUAAUUAAAAUUCAGAGUAGAUAUUGAUAAUGACGAUAUUUGCUUAUUUCUUGACAAAGUCAAUACGUGGUAGAUUAGUGUUAUUCAUCUUUAAUGGGUUUAAAGGGUACCUAGACGGUUAAUUAAGCAUACAAGUGUACUAAUUAUAAACUAGAGUUUAAUGUAAGAAGGAUUGAGUACGGUGAGUGUAGAGAUAAAAUUCUAUGAUACCACUUAGGAACUGGUAAAGGCGAAGGCAACCUUUUAUGUAAAAACUGACGUUAAGGGACGAAGGCUCGUAUUAAGUAACAGGAUUAGAGACCCUAGUAUUGUGGGCAGACAAUGAUGAGUGUCAUAUGCAAGAAAUAUUUUGUGUAUAAAUGAAAGUGUAAGCACUCCACCUCAAGAGUAACGUGGCAACACGGGAACUGAAAUCAUUAGACCGUUUCUGAAACUCGUAGUGAAGUAUGUUGUUUAAUUUGAUGAUCCACAAAUAACCUUACCACAAUUUGUAUGACUAAAAAAGGUACAACAAAAAUCAAUUUUUGUUUAGUAGUCACAAAAGUAAAAUUUUGUCCAUUAGUUACAAGCGUUGCACGGCUGUCUUCAGUUAAUGUUGUGAAACUUUGGUUAGAUCCAUUUAAUUGACGUAAACCCUUGCUUUAUUUAUUAUAGAGCAGUUCGCCGCUAUACUGGUAGUGAUAUAAGGGACCAAGACAAGUC
rnacentral:rRNA from 1 species